rnacentral:rRNA from 1 species
UACGAAGGGGGCUAGCGUUGCUCGGAAUCACUGGGCGUAAAGGGUGCGUAGGCGGGUCUUUAGGUCAGGGGUGAAAUCCUGGAGCUCAACUCCAGAACUGCCUUUGAUACUGAAGAUCUUGAGUUCGGGGGAGGUGAGUGGAACUGCGAGUGUAGAGGUGAAAUUCGUAGAUAUUCGCAAGAACACCAGUGGCGAAGGCGGCUCACUGGCCCGAUACUGACGCUGAGGCACGAAAGCGUGGGGAGCAAACAGG